GAUAAAGAUGGUGGAGGGAUGAAGAAAAGCUUUUCAAAGUGGUGGAAAGACAGUAGAAACAUUACUGUGAGCUCAGGAAGAUUACUUGCUAAAAUUUGCAAAUACUCAGCCCGUACCUUCAGUGGAAAAUCUGACUGAUGAUAAGCAGAGCAAACUCCCAAACACAUUCUUCCUCUGAGGUAUGUUAAAAGAUAGUUGGAUAUAUUAGCAAAGCGAAGCUCCAGGUGACACCAAGAUAGAGCCCUUUACCCUGUUUCACUCAUUCGGUUAGCUAACAUUUCCCCGAGGCAGAUCAGUUCAACCAACUAUAAAUCUGAGCCCCACCUCACCGAUUUCCACAUGCUGGUCCAAAUAGCAAACAGAGAAAAAGAUGAAGAAAAAGGCUGUAUUCAACAAGGUUUUCCAUGGUGAGUCCUUGGUUGGUGUUCUCCUCACCGUCGACCUGGGUAAGCCGCAGUCUUUUGAAAACGGGCCAUCUUCACACUGUUGGAAGGCCUCUUCCACCGGUGAAGGCGCAGACCUCCACCGACAAACACCUCCUCAUUCCGGAUGAAUGAUCUGUGCUCCCGCCUGCCUGACUCCCUCCAUCAAACCUGGCCAGCACUCAUAAUAAAUGAUAGCGCGGGACAAUGCCCUAUUUUCACGACAGAGUCAUCUGUCAUGCCAGCCCAGACAAAGCCCCCAGAGUUUCAUCAUUUUCACACACUGCUUGCAGUGAAGUAACAAAAAAAGAAAAGAGAGAGGGAAAAAAAGAGAGAGAAAAAUCCAGCUUCAUCUGUUCAGUAAUGGCUGUGGGAUGCCUUGAAAACAUACUCGGUGUGUUUACUAAAUCAGACACAUUUUAUCUCAAGGGCUCUACAUGGAUUUAUGUGAUCUGCUUUGGUGUUCAAUCUUUCGUCUGAUGCAACUGUCCAUAUCUUAGUUUUUCUUAUUUACGAGUAAAUCUGCUCCUUUUCCUGGUCGACAUCUUAUUUCAUGGCUGUUACAUUCAGUUUCAUGCAUUAGUCUGUUAAUUAAACCCUCAUUUAAAUAUUUUUGGGAGAUGUUUGAUGCUUAGUGUCAAUUUGCGGGUCUAUCGGGUCACCUCCUCUGAUCUGCCACAGCAGAAGAGGCCCUGUGGUCUUGUAAUUGUACACUAGAGACAACCUUGACGUGCGCUCUCUCAUCUCUGGCCAUACUGUUAUAGCGGUGGACACGGCUUCUUUUUCAUAGGCAUCCAAAAUCAACAACAGGAUGUGUCCGUGAACUAGUUUUAGAUUUCAAAGCCCGUAAAUAAACUUCUGCAGAGGAAUAACAUAUCACCGUUGUGAAGGUUGAUGUGCCUUUGCAAUAAAUUUGGAAAACUUAUCAAUCAA